rnacentral:RNase_MRP_RNA from 1 species
CUGUCAUUGGACAAAGUGAUCGGGUCACAUGAGCCUGUCUAGGUUCCGACCCAGGAAAGUCCCCGAGCCAUUAUCCGCAGAGAUGCGGCCUCGGAAACGAGUGAGUCAUACGGUGGGGAGAUCCUAAUGCUGAGACGCGUGUGUGGAGCUUCUGUGGUCUCUCUGCCGAUGAUACCAUGGCCGUUUGUUUCACGACAGUUAUUCACUUGGUCCUUUUCGGACUAACUGAACGGGGCUUAUGUUUCAAUGACU